GCAGGCUGCACGGAGACUUGGAGAAAAAGCAGUUCAUGCUGCUGAAUCCUCAGGAAGUUUGUUUCCAGUUGAGACAUUCCUCAGCAUGAAGGACUAAGAGUCUAGGCCUUGCCAUCCCUGCAGACUCAGGGAGCCUCUGAGAGCACCUGGGAUAGGAGAAAGGGAACAGCCAUGGAGAGCCAAGGGUGCACUGGGGACCCUGGAAGUGACUGUGGGCCUGGCCCAGAGCUUUCCAAACAGACACAACUCUGCAGUUUCCAUUCCACUCCAGAACAAGCAGACGUUCUGGUGGCUUAAGUCUAAGAUGAGCAGGUCUGUCUCUGCUCUGUGUCUGCAUUCUGGGGAGCUCAGCUGUGACGACCAUCUGCCCUGGAGAUGCUCAAAGAAGAGGGCUGAGGAAGCAUGCAUGCUAGAUUUAUAUACAGUCCUAUCUGGGCACCUGCUGGGAAUCCAAAAUGCCCAAGUCCUCUAUGUAAAAUGUGGUGGUGUUUGUGGAGAACUUACUCAUAUCCUUCUGUACACCUUCAAGCAUGUCUAGGUGACUUAUCCCACCUAACGCAGUAUGAAUAAUGUGUACAUGGCCAUCCCACUGUGUUGUGUAGGCAAUAAUUACAAGAAAAAUGUCUGUACAUACUCAAUUCUUCCCAAAUAUUUUGAUCUUUGAUUGAAUCAUCAGAUAUAGAUUCUAAAGACAUAGAGAGCUGACUGUACCAUAUAUGUGUGUAAAUGUAUUCAAUAUGUAAAAAUAUUUGCAGUUUAAUGUAUGCAUACAAAUAUGUAAAAUAUGUAUUUAUAUAUAAAUACACACCCAGAAGCUCUUUUAUCUAAUGCCUGUGAAACUGUAACUGUUAAGUAAAAGGCCACAUCAUGUAAAGGAGAAAAUCACUGUGCAUGUCCAUGUGUGCAUAUGUGCGUGUGCGUGUGCAUGUGCGUGUGCAUGUGCAUGUGUAAAACACUCUAUCUCAACUUGAAGUUUAAGCCUGUGGAUGGGGUGCUUGUCAUCUGACUUGCUGG
rnacentral:lncRNA from 1 species